UGACCGUAAGGUCGGACUGUUUUGAUGCAGUAAGCGGAAAUGUUGACAUGAAAAUGUAACGGGAGGUCUGGAUUAUCGAAUGUAUUUCCAUCGAUAGAACAUAUUCCUGUAUAAUAAUUAAAACGCUAUAGUCGUUGGCCGGUAAUAGCUAACCAGGGCAGGCAUGUUGGAAAUAACGCAACAGUUUUUAUUCCUUCGACCUUCUCAGAGAAUAUCAAGAAUGCAUCGAGUUAACACUGUGUUUACAUGAACUAGCGGUGUCGAGCUGAACGGGCUUUUUUCUUUUGUUGUUAUAGGUUAUUUCGUGUACCUCCUAACUAAUGUCUAUCGCUUGAUAGCUGUGCUAUUGCAAAAGCUGGCAUUUCAGGACAAAUCAUUGCUGUCUUCCCUGAAAUGGACACUCCAAAUACACUGUCCAUGUUACUGCUGGUCUCAGAGCAAUGACACUGUCCUUGUCCUGCUCCUUGUCAACAUAACUAGCUGAGCUAAACUUUCCCGGAUUAGUUUUCUAUGACACUCAAAACUUAUGCUCGACUAGAUUCGUUGGAAUCGCUCCUCAACGAACUUCCCUGUAUGUUUUAUCUGGGCCUGUUUUUUGUGAACGUUUUGAUCCUCUACUAUGCCUUUCUAAUGGAAUACAUUGUCCUGAAUGUGGGGAUAGUGUUUCUACCGGAAGAUAUGGACCAGGCGCUGGUGGACCUAGGGGUACUAUCUGACCCGGCCUCUGUCCCUUACGACACGGACACAGAACUCGAUGUUUUCGAGAGGUACCUGGAGUGAGCUGGGGCCCAAGGCUCGAGAGGCAGAGAGAAGCGCCGCUGCACCGGCAUGCUCCGCAGGGGUGAACUGGACUCCUACCGGCCUGUGAUGAUGAUGAUGAUGAUGAUGUUGGGAGAGACUGACACUGGGAACUCCAGGAGGAGGAUAUUUGUCUUGGCUUGGAACAACAUUGGCUGCAGGAUGAAAAAGUUGUCAAGGCUCAAGACCAGAAAUCUGGAGAGAGUCAGAACCAACAGACAGACAGGACAAUUCACAGCAGAGUUACCUGUCAAAACUGUCUUAACUGGCCAAUCAACAAGCAGACCUGUCUAACUGUGGCCAAUCAACAAGCAGAACUGUCAAACUGUGUCCAAUCAACAAGCAGAACUGUCAAACUGUGUCCAAUCAACAAGCAGAACUGUCUAACUGGCCAAUCAACUACCAGAACUGUCGAACUGUGUCCAGUCAACAAGAAUAACUGUCUAACUGGCCAAUCAACAAGCAGACCUGUCUAACUGUGGCCAAUCAACAAGCAGACCUGUCUAACUGUGGCCAAUCAACAAGCAGACCUGUCUAACUGUGGCCAAUCAACAAGCAGAUCUGUAUAACUGUGGCCAAUCAACAAGCAGGACUGUCCAACUGGCCAAUCAACAAGCAGACCUGUCUAACUGGCCAAUCAACAAGCAGGACUGUGACUGGCCAAUCAACAAGCAGGACUGUGACUGGCCAAUCAACAAGCAGGACUGUCUAACUGGCCAAUCAACAAGCAGGACUGUGACUGGCUAAUCAACAAGCAGAACUGUGACUGGCCAAUUAACAAGCAGACCUGUCUCACUGGCCAAUCAACAAGCAGAACUGUCUAACUGGCUAAUUAACAAGCAGACCUGUCUAACUGGCCAAUCAACAUGCAGACCUGUCUAACUGGCCAAUCAACAAGCAGAACUGUCUAACUGGCCAAUCAACAAGCAGAACUGUCUAACUGGCCAAUCAACAAGCAGAACUGUCUAACUGGCCGAUCAACAAGCAGAACUGUCUAACUGGCCAAUCAACAAGCAGAACUGUCUAACUGGCCAAUCAACAAGCAGAACUGUCUAACUGGCCAAUCAACAAGCAGACCUGUCUAACUGGCCGAUCAACAAGCAGACCUGUCUAACUGGCCGAUCAACAAGCAGAACUGGCCAAUCAACAAGCAGACCUGUCUAACUGGCCGAUCAACAAGCAGAACUGUCUAACUGGCCAAUCAACAAGCAGAACUGGCCAAUCAACAUGCAGGACUGUCUAACUGGCCAAUCAACAAGCAGAACUGUCCAACUGGCCAAUCAACAAGCAGAACAUUGCACGAUCAGGGGACAACGUUACACUAACUCUGACCCUAGAGAACUGACCUAGGAUCAGUCAACCUGACAGGACAGCACUGUAGUGUUUACUAACUCUGACCCUAGAGAACUGACCGAGGAUCAGUCAACCUGACAGGACAGCACUGUAGUGUUUACUAACUCUGACCCUAGAGAUCUGACCCAGGAUCAGUCAACCUGACAGGACUGUAGUGUUUACUAACUCUGACCCUAGAGAACUGACCUAGGAUCAGUCAACCUGACAGGACAGCACUGUAGUGUUUACUAACUCUGACCCUAGAGAUCUGACCCAGGAUCAGUCAACCUGACAGCACUGUAGUGUUUACUAACUCUGACCCUAGAGAACUGACCUAGGAUCAGUCAACCUGACAGGACUGUAGUGUUUACUAACUCUGACCCUAGAGAACUGACCGAGGAUCAGUCAACCUGACAGGACAGCACUGUAGUGUUUACUAACUCUGACCCUAGAGAUCUGACCCAGGAUCAGUCAACCUGACAGGACAGCACUGUAGUGUUUACUAACUCUGACCCUAGAGAACUGACCGAGGAUCAGUCAACCUGACAGGACUGUAGUGUUUACUAACUCUGACCCUAGAGAACUGACCGAGGAUCAGUCAACCUGACAGGACAGCACUGUAGUGUUUACUAACUCUGACCCUAGAGAACUGACCUAGGAUCAGUCAACCUGACAGGACAGCACUGUAGUGUUUACUAACUCUGACCCUAGAGAACUGACCGAGGAUCAGUCAACCUGACAGGACUGUAGUGUUUACUAACUCUGACCCUAGAGAACUGACCGAGGAUCAGUCAACCUGACAGGACUGUAGUGUUUACUAACUCUGACCCUAGAGAACUGACCGAGGAUCAGUCAACCUGACAGGACAGCACUGUAGUGUUUACUAACUCUGACCCUAGAGAUCUGACCCAGGAUCAGUCAACCUGACAGGACAGCACUGUAGUGUUUACUAACUCUGACCCUAGAGAACUGACCGAGGAUCAGUCAACCUGACAGGACAGCACUGUAGUGUUUACUAACUCUGACCCUAGAGAACUGACCGAGGAUCAGUCAACCUGACAGUCGACCCUAGAGAACUGACCCAGGAUCAGUCAACCUGACAGGACAGCACUGUAGUGUUUACUAACUCUGACCCUAGAGAACUGACCGAGGAUCAGUCAACCUGACAGGACAGCACUGUAGUGUUUACUAACUCUGACCCUAGAGAACUGACCCAGGAUCAGUCAACCUGACAGCACUGUAGUGUUUACUAACUCUGACCCUAGAGAACUGACCGAGGAUCAGUCAACCUGACAGGACAGCACUGUAGUGUUUACUAACUCUGACCCUAGAGAACUGACCGAGGAUCAGUCAACCUGACAGGACUGUAGUGUUUACUAACUCUGACCCUAGAGAACUGACCGAGGAUCAGUCAACCUGACAGGACAGCACUGUAGUGUUUACUAACUCUGACCCUAGAGAACUGACCGAGGAUCAGUCAACCUGACAGGACAGCACUGUAGUGUUUACUAACUCUGACCCUAGAGAACUGACCGAGGAUCAGUCAACCUGACAGGACUGUAGUGUUUACUAACUCUGACCCUAGAGAACUGACCGAGGAUCAGUCAACCUGACAGCACUGUAGUGUUUACUAACUCUGACCCUAGAGAACUGACCGAGGAUCAGUCAACCUGACAGGACAGCACUGUAGUGUUUACUAACUCUGACCCUAGAGAACUGACCUAGGAUCAGUCAACCUGACAGCACUGUAGUGUUUACUAACUCUGACCCUAGAGAACUGACCCAGGAUCAGUCAACCUGACAGGACUGUAGUGUUUACUAACUCUGACCCUAGAGAACUGACCGAGGAUCAGUCAACCUGACAGGACUGUAGUGUUUACUAACUCUGACCCUAGAGAUCUGACCCAGGAUCAGUCAACCUGACAGGACUGCACUGUAGUGUUUACUAACUCUGACCCUAGAGAACUGACCUAGGAUCAGUCAACCUGACAGGACUGUAGUGUUUACUAACUCUGACCCUAGAGAACUGACCGAGGAUCAGUCAACCUGACAGGACUGUAGUGUUUACUAACUCUGACCCUAGAGAACUGACCGAGGAUCAGUCAACCUGACAGGACUGUAGUGUUUACUAACUCUGACCCUAGAGAUCUGACCGAGGAUCAGUCAACCUGACAGGACAGCACUGUAGUGUUUACUAACUCUGACCCUAGAGAACUGACCUAGGAUCAGUCAACCUGACAGGACAGCACUGUAGUGUUUACUAACUCUGACCCUAGAGAUCUGACCCAGGAUCAGUCAACCUGACAGGACAGCACUGUAGUGUUUACUAACUCUGACCCUAGAGAACUGACCUAGGAUCAGUCAACCUGACAGGACUGUAGUGUUUACUAACUCUGACCCUAGAGAUCUGACCGAGGAUCAGUCAACCUGACAGGACAGCACUGUAGUGUUUACUAACUCUGACCCUAGAGAUCUGACCGAGGAUCAGUCAACCUGACAGGACAGCACUGUAGUGUUUACUAACUCUGACCCUAGAGAACUGACCCAGGAUCAGUCAACCUGACAGGACUGUAGUGUUUACUAACUCUGACCCUAGAGAACUGACCGAGGAUCAGUCAACCUGACAGGACAGCACUGUAGUGUUUACUAACUCUGACCCUAGAGAACUGACCGAGGAUCAGUCAACCUGACAGGACAGCACUGUAGUGUUUACUAACUCUGACCCUAGAGAUCUGACCUAGGAUCAGUCAACCUGACAGGACAGCACUGUAGUGUUUACUAACUCUGACCCUAGAGAACUGACCUAGGAUCAGUCAACCUGACAGGACUGUAGUGUUUACUAACUCUGACCCUAGAGAUCUGACCGAGGAUCAGUCAACCUGACAGGACAGCACUGUAGUGUUUACUAACUCUGACCCUAGAGAACUGACCUAGGAUCAGUCAACCUGACAGGACAGCACUGUAGUGUUUACUAACUCUGACCCUAGAGAACUGACCUAGGAUCAGUCAACCUGACAGGACAGCACUGUAGUGUUUACUAACUCUGACCCUAGAGAACUGACCGAGGAUCAGUCAACCUGACAGGACAGCACUGUAGUGUUUACUAACUCUGACCCUAGAGAACUGACCUAGGAUCAGUCAACCUGACAGGACUGUAGUGUUUACUAACUCUGACCCUAGAGAACUGACCGAGGAUCAGUCAACCUGACAGGACUGUAGUGUUUACUAACUCUGACCCUAGAGAUCUGACCGAGGAACAGUCAACCUGACAGGACAGCACUGUAGUGUUUACUAACUCUGACCCUAGAGAACUGACCGAGGAUCAGUCAACCUGACAGGACAGCACUGUAGUGUUUACUAACUCUGACCCUAGAGAACUGACCGAGGGUCAACCUGCUUCAGGUUCUUCUACACUUCUGGGAAUGUUAUCAAUUUUUUUUUUAAAGACUGUUUUAAACAACCAGGAAACCAGCGGUUGUUUCUGGUUGUUUAUCAGAGUUAUCUGGCUUAGCUGGUUGAUCCUGCUGUUGUAUCGUACCCCUCAGGGGGUGUGGCCUGGAGAAGUGUUUGUCGUGUUGUUAUGAGAUGUGUGGUAUGAAAGACAUUUGACAGAUUGUGGUCCGGUCCUCCUCCUACCUGUCUCGUCUCUCUUCGUUCAUCUUGGCCACUGUGACGGGUGUGAACAAACACAGGUGACUCUUGUUUAGUACCGAUCUUGGAUCAGUGUGCCAUCCACCAAGGGGGGGGCAGGAAGUGACCUUUAGAUCGUUGCCUGUAGACUCGAGAGGCAGCUUCACCUUGCUCUGCUCUGACUCUGACUCUCUCAAAGGGGAGAGGUCUAUGUUCAUGUCGUCUCUGGUGUCUGCCAAUCAAUAAUCAAUAAUACUGCAUCAGCUUGGUCCUGAUCAAUAACCCACCACAGACCAGCUGCUGGCAGUCACCAGGCUGCUUCCCUGCUAGGCUCCUCCCCCCUCCGGAGAACAACUCCCAGCGUGCAUUGGGCUGGAUGGCUGAAGUACCUGGUGACUUUACUGCUAAUGUCAAUCAACCUCUACGCUAUAACGGCUCAUAAGGGAUUAGACUGGGUUUAUAAUGCAGUGUUGUUCUUCUGCUCUGUCGGCUGUGUAUUAUAAUGGGGGGGGGGGACAUCCUGGGGCCUUGAAGGCUCUGAUGCCAUACCCCCCCCCCACGCCAACCACCUGUAGAUAGCAGUAACACCCCCCCCCACCCCACCCCAACCACCUGUAGAUAGCAGUAACACCCAAUUGGGGGGACACACACACCCUGGGCCUUUUACAGCAAUAGAGGGCUCUGAUGCCAUACCCCCCCCCCCCCGCCAACCCAACCACCUGUAGAUAGCAGUAACACCCAAUUGGGGGGGGAACACACACCCUGGGCCUUUUACAGCAAUAGAGGGCUCUGAUGCCAUACCCUCCCCACCCCAACCACCUGUAGAUAUUAGUAACACCCCCCCCACCCCAACCACCUGUAGAUAGCAGUAACACCCCCCCCCACCCCAACCACCUGUAGAUAGCAGUAACACCCCCCCCACCCCAUCCACCUGUAGAUAGCAGUAACACCCCCCCACACCACCACCACAGCAGCCAUUUUAAACCAAAAUGUUUCAGCAGUGCAGCUGACAGUAGAGAGGUGAGGAGGACAUCUUACACUCCUCGUCAUCGUCAUCAUGAAGACACCCCCCCAGCACAAGCCUUCACAUCCUCUUCAUCAUCAUCAUGAAGACAUCCCACCCCAGCACCAGCCUUCACAUCCUCUUCAUCAUCAUCAUGAAGACAUCCCACCCCAGCCUUCACAUCCUCUUCAUCAUCAUCAUGAAGACAUCCCACCCCAGCACCAGCCUUCACAUCCUCUUCAUCGUCAUCAUGAAGACACCCCCCCAGCACCAGCCUUCACAUCCUCUUCAUCAUCAUCAUCAUGAAGACACCCCCCCGAGCACCAGCCUUCACAUCCUCUUCAUCAUCAUCAUGAAGACAUCCCACCCCAGCACCAGCCUUCACAUCCUCUUCAUCAUCAUUAUGACAUCACACCCCAGCCUUCACAUCCUCUUCAUCAUCAUCAUGAAGACAUGUUGUUAUAAGACAUGUUAUAAGAAGCUAUAAUGUGUAAUAAGGAGCCAUGAUGUGUUAUAAGGAGCCAUGAUGUGUUAUAAGGAGAAGCUAUGAUGUGUUAUAAGGAGAAGAUAUGAUGUGUUAUAAGGAGAAGAUAUGAUGUGUUAUAAGGAGCUAUGAUGUGUUAUAAGGAGAAGCUAUGAUGUGUUAUAAGGAGCUAUGAUGUGUUAUUAUAAGGAGCUAUGAUGUGUUAUAAGGAGAAGCUAUGAUGUGUUAUAAGGAACUAUGACGUGUUAUAAUGUGUUAUGACGUGUUAUAAGGAGCUAUGAUGUGUUAUAAGGAGCUAUGACGUGUUAUAAGAAGCUAUGAUGUGUUAUAACGUGUUAUAAGAAGCUAUGUUGUUAUAACAUGUUAUAAGGAGCUAUGACGUGUUAUAACAUGUUAUAAGGAGCUAUGACGUGUUAUAAGAAGCUAUAAGCGUUCAUACAGUGGUUCAUAUUCCAAUGCAUAUUUAAUAAACCAUCAAUGAGUGGA